rnacentral:rRNA from 1 species
AUUGAACGCUGGCGGCAGGCCUAACACAUGCAAGUCGAGCGGAUGAAGGGAGCUUGCUCCUGGAUUCAGCGGCGGACGGGUGAGUAAUGCCUAGGAAUCUGCCUGGUAGUGGGGGAUAACGUCCGGAAACGGGCGCUAAUACCGCAUACGUCCUGAGGGAGAAAGUGGGGGAUCUUCGGACCUCACGCUAUCAGAUGAGCCUAGGUCGGAUUAGCUAGUUGGUGGGGUAAAGGCCUACCAAGGCGACGAUCCGUAACUGGUCUGAGAGGAUGAUCAGUCACACUGGAACUGAGACACGGUCCAGACUCCUACGGGAGGCAGCAGUGGGGAAUAUUGGACAAUGGGCGAAAGCCUGAUCCAGCCAUGCCGCGUGUGUGAAGAAGGUCUUCGGAUUGUAAAGCACUUUAAGUUGGGAGGAAGGGCAGUAAGUUAAUACCUUGCUGUUUUGACGUUACCAACAGAAUAGGCACCGGCUAAUUUCGUG